UACGCAGGGAGCAAGCGUUGUCCGGAAUCAUCGGGCGUAAAGCGCGCGUAGGUGGCCUCAUAAGUCCGCUGUGAAAGUCAAAGGCUCAACCUUUGAAAGCCGGUGGAUACUGUGAGGCUAGAGUACGGAAGAGGCGAGUGGAAUUCCUGGUGUAGCGGUGGAAUGCGCAGAUAUCAGGAGGAACACCAAUAGCGAAGGCAGCUCGCUGGGACGUUACUGACACUGAGGCGCGAAAGCGUGGGGAGCGAACAGG
rnacentral:rRNA from 1 species